rnacentral:pre_miRNA from 1 species
AGUGGAGUUAGAGCCAAUGAUGAGUUGCCGCAUAUAUAUAUUUUCUCAAGUAAUCAUGCAAUAUAAUCUUGUAAUAUAGAGGUUGAAGAGGGUUUUUGCAUGCGGCAAGCAUCCUUGGCUCUACCUUCGUUCU